UGUGUGCAAAAUUUGGAAUACACUUAUAUCAGAACCACAUUUUGCUAAAUUGCAAUUUGAGCGAGCACCAGUUAGUUUCGUGAUUCGAAAUUUAGACAAUAUAGGAGUGUCAAGAAACCUAUACCUUCUUGAGUGUGAAGCUGAAAAGUUUGAGAUUGGAAGCAAAAAUCAUGUGAAGCUUGACCCUAUAUUCGAGCUUCCUCUUUGUAAAGACAUAUCAUCUAGGGACAAAAAUGACGCCAAAUUUUAUAAGGUGAUAAAAAAAAAAAAAUCCAAGAUACGUUAUUUUACUCUCACCUCAAGUAGGGACAAGUUUGGCAUUGUGAAUUCUUGCAAUGGCUUGCUUUGUUUAUCUGAAACAUCUAUCGGAAGCCCUUUAGUGAUUUGCAACCCAGUAACGAGGGAAUUUACAAUACUUCCUGAACUUACUACGACUUCUGACUGGUUUAACAGUGCUCGGGUACAAGCUGGUUUUGGUUUCCAACCCAAAACUAAUGAAUAUAAGGUGAUCAUAAUGUGGAACAAAUAUGUUAGACGAGACAAUCGUUUGGUGUUUGAGCGUGUAGUGCUCGAGAUACACACGCUCGGAACAUCAUCAUGGAGAAAUGUUGAAGUGGAUCCUCAAAUUUCUUUUUUGAAGCUUUUGAAUCCAACAUGUGUGAAUGGCGCACUUCAUUGGAUUAUAUUUGAAGCUUGGCAACAAAAGUCAAUAUUGUGUUUCAAUUUUGAAAGUGAGAGGUUGCAGUCGUUUCCUUCUCCUCCACAUGUGUUUGGAAAUCAUGAUAAUGGAUUUCCCCAUAGCAUGCCUAUUAGAUUGGGAGAAUUGAAGGGAUUUCUUUACAUUUGUCAUAGAUCGUCUCUCGAGAAUGUUACAAUGUGGGUUAUGAAUGAAUAUGGCAUUGGAGAAUCAUGGACUAUUGUUUACAACAUUGAUACUUCGCUCUUGUACAUUCCGGGCACUUGUGUGGGCUAUCCUUAUCCGUGGCGUUGUAGUUUUUAUUGGCUGUCUAAACACCACGAACCUGAGAAACAUGGGUUCAAAGUUUUUCGAAUUCAAGGGACAACAGAAGUUGAAGUAAUUGAAUAUAUUCCAAGUCUAAUAUCAUUGAACGAUGUCGUGAAAGGAGACAAUGUUGAAGCGUUGAACACCCACUCAUGGUACGAAUGUAAUAUUUUAUUUUGAUUGAGUAAAUGAAUAUGAUUUUCUUUUAGAAAUUACAAUUUGACUCAUAAGACAAAGAUUCAAUGGGACAUAUGUGAAUUUCUUACGUUGUUGUCUAUGUUUUGAUUUCCACUUUUGUGAACAACCAUGCUCUAUUUUUGUGUUGUUUUAAUUUGUUAUAAUUUUAGUCCGUUUUCGUUGCCUUUAAUUACAUAUUAGCUUUGACAAUUGUAAAAAUACAUGUUGACUCAAUUAUUUGUUGGAAAAUGUUGUCAACAAUCGCUCGUUUCAACACAUUAUUACUAACACCAAUUCUCUUAUUCUGUUAAAUGCACAUGGGUCCAACCACUAUAUGCGAGACUUGUUUUCAAAGUGGUAGGUCCUAUAUGUAUUUCACCAAUAAGAGAGUGUAAGUUAGAAAGAGUGUUAAAAUGAGUGUUGUUGACAUUACUCCUAUUUAUUAAUAAUUACAUCUUAUAAAUUUCUCUUAGAAAUGUAACUUGGUCUAACACAACUCUACAAAACCGGCUUAAGAUGUUAGAAUUGUUUUCACAUAUAAACACUUGUUGAGGCCAUCUUUUAUCCGAUGUAGAACUCUUUAGCAAAUUCCUUUAUACUUUUUGGGUUGAUGGACGAGUAGGAAAUGGAUAGUUCUUGUAAUGUUGGUUUUUGGAUCUUCCUUGUUUGUUUAGUUGUGGAUAGUUUCUCAAGACUAUUUUAUCCCCUACAAAUUGUAGUUAUAGCAAAUUUUACUUAACCAUUGUUCCUUAAUUGUUUUAAUUUUUUGUAGGUGGGAAAACGAUAUUACAUGUGGAGAAAAUGAAGUUCUUUCCAUAUCUCAACAUAUUGUUUGAGACUUGGAAAGUACACGUUCUUCACCUGCACUUCUGGUGAAGAAUUUGGUGAAGAGCCUGCUUCCUAAUAAGAGUACGUUUGUUUUCGCAUUGGAAGCCUUUGAUGAAUAAUAUAUGAAUUUCUAUACAACAGGGAGGGUUAAAAGAGAAACUCUUCUAUAGACACAACCACAAAUGAUAAAUAUUUAUUUAAACACGCCCUCAUCAAAUAUGCAAAAGUUAAAAGAGAAUAAAACUAAAUGAUGUUGAUUGAUGUGAUCUAUUUAUUUUUGUUUUAAAUUUUUCCAUUUGAUGUGAGCGCGUCCAAAUAUUUUUCAUUUGUGCUUGUGUUCAUAGAAGAGUUUCCCAGUGGUAAGAGAUAAAAUUCACUGUUCUAUCUUACCAUUCUUUUAAUUAUUACAAUUGUGUUUAACUAGAAAAUGUUGAUUAACUAUUUAGGUUAAAUAAGUAAAUGGUCCCCCUAAAUAUAUCAACAUUUGAUUUUAGUCCUCGAAAAUUUUCCAUCCAUGAAAUUAGUCCAUACUUUUUUGUCAACUCAUGUGUAACCUUCAUGUUUUUUAAUGAAAUUUUCUAGAAAUGGAUUUUUCAAAAAAAAAAAAAAGUUUUUGGCAAAACAUAAAUUUAAUAUGAAUUUUUAUGUUUUUGGUGCUAAAACAUUUAUAACACUCAUGUUUUGUUAAAAAAAUCUAAUUUUUUUUGGAAAAUAUUAUCAUACUUUUUCACACAUUUCUGGAAAAUUUCAUGAAGGUUAAACAUGAAUUGACUAAAAAGUAGGUGAAAAUUUUUGGAGGACCAAAAGCAUAGGAAAUAUUUUAAAAGAACUAAAAUCAAAUGUUGGUUUAUAUAGGAGACCAUUUACUUAUUUAACCCUAACUAUUUUGAUGCAUAGUUUGAAGUUAAUUGUUGGCUCCGUAGAUAAUUACAAAGUUUGGAUGCAAAUAAAUUAAUAAUUCUUGUGUGACUAUUUUCUUCGAGAAAAUAAGUAAUUCUACUCUAAAACAAAACACAUAAUUUGAUUUCCUAUUUUUGUACAUUUUGGAAGGAAGCAAUAAAAAUUAUAUUGGAUACAAUUAAGUUGGUCAAUAUGCUGAAGGCUGGAUAUUGUUACUCAAAAUUUUGUUUAAAUUGACAGGAAAAUUUGGAAAUACAGAAGGCUGGGUAUGUUAUUAAAACGAAGUCAAUCAAUAUGCUGAAGAGAAUUUUUUGAGCUGGAGGAAACAUCCGCAAAGUUUCGGAGCCGUGGAGCUGCAUCAAAGAAUUUUUUUUGUAUGCUUUUGUUAAGUAAUUUUAAACCAAAUAAGGACUGAAUUCUUUGAUGGAUUGGUUACAUGAUGUUGUAUGCUUUUAAAGUUUGUUUUGAACUGCGAUGUAUUGCUGGUUCCUAAUAUGUUUUGUUUGAGUUAAUGUUGAACUCAGUAUACUUCUGUUUUGAACUGUGAUGAAUUGCUGGUUUCUAAUAUGCUUUGUUUGAGUCAACAGAGUUACACAUUUCAAAAUUUCAUAAUCAAUAAGAAUAAUAGCUCGGACUUUCUUCCCUUAACAUAUUAAUAAGAGAGUGUUGGGACAUUGGUAUGAAGUUGAAAGAAAAUUGAAUGGUUGGGAAGAUUAAACACCAAGUCAUGAGAUUUUAACAUAAUGUUGCGUGAAUUAAAAAUCUUUUUAAUUUUUAAAUACUUGAUAUUGAUAAAAUAAUAGUAAUUAUUAUUAUUUUUUAUUCAUGAUGUCACUUUCCAUAACUUUAAUUUAGUUUAUUUUGGUUGUGAUCAAGAUUGAGAAUUUAACUAAGUUUUCUAUUUUUUCUUCAUUCACUUCCAAUUACUUUGUAUCUUCCAUUUUACUGGUUAGUUUCUUUCACAAGUUUAACUAAAUUUGAUUACAAAAUUUCUAUAUAAAUAAAUGACUAUAAUGAGUCAUAAAUCACAUCAAAAUUGUUAAAAAUAAAUAAAUAAAUAAAUCACAUCAAAACAUUAUAUUGAGUUGUCGAAAACUUUUUCUCUCUUCUCCCUCCAACUUGUGUUAACAAGUUAUUCCCUUAUGAAUUAACAAUGCUCUUAAGACCAUGGUCUAUUUUUGGUAUAAUGUUCUUCCGAAAUUAAGAAUGAUUUUAAGAACAUAGUUCAUUCGAUAAUAUAUGUCCUUUCAAAAUAAAGAGUAUUCUUAAAUUCAUAGUCUUUUUCAAGAAUAAUGCCCUUUUGGAAUUCACAAUGAUUUAAGAAUAAUGCCCCUCUAGGGUUAUUGUAUCCUUCUGCAGAAUGUGGAGCUUGGGGAGGAGUAUUUGAACAUAGGUCAUCAUUAUGCGCUACUAGCCCACAUCUAAAACAGAACAUUGGUAGAUUUUCAUAUCUGAAAUCUACCUAGUUAAUUCCAUCAACAUCAUUACCAAUAUACAUUUCAGCCUUUAUAGGGGGAGUUAAUGUCAAAAAGAAUCUUAGCUUUCACUAUCCUAGCACUAUCAUGGUAAUCAUACAAUCCAACAUCCAAAACCUGACCAAUUUGAGACCCAAUUUGGUUACCCAUACAAAUAGAUCUACAGUGAAGUGGGAGGCCCCACAUCUGGACCCAAAGAGGAAUUUUAGAGAAAUCUAGUUCACUAGGAUUAACCUUUCUAUCCCAAGAAUGAAGAACUAACCAGCAGUUGCGUAUUAUCCAUGGAUUUCCUUUUAGAAUUCUUGUCAGAUCUUGUUCUUUAUCCAUAGAUAUCUGAUACAAUUUUCCUUCUAUUUCUGUAAUCUUCAAUCCUGCAGGUUUGGACCAAAUUCCAGCCAUAGAGUUGUGUAAAGAAGGUGUAGGAAUGGAUUUGUCAGAGAGAAUCUUUUCAAUCAAGCUGUUCUUGCAAGUGUUAAUACUUUCUUGGAGAUCAUCUUCUUGAUAAUAGCAAAACGGUUCAGAAUCUGGUGACUCCCCAGGGGGUGAUUCUUGAUGAGAAGGUUGUUGAAAAGAAUCAGUCUGGUCUGGUGCAUACUAGUGUCCACUGGUUGAAUCUUGACCAUCAUGAGCGCCAUGGAUUUGUUGUUGAUAAGAUUGUUGGUUUGUGGAGAAGAGGUUAGGAUUGUUUGUUAUGAUAGGGGUUACGUUUGCAACCUUUUGAAUUUUUGUAGGACGGUGGGAAUCUGGGGAAAGAAUAGGGUGGAGUUGCUGAUGUUGGGAGUCAGAGACGGCUCCAGAAGUGGAAGGGAGAGACAUGAUGAGAUAAGGCAGAGGGGAAGGGAACCACAAUGAGCAAAAGAAAGGAAAGAAGCAAGAUUGGUAACGAUGGUGAGAUGAGAAAAACACGAUUGGUAAUGAUGAUGGGAUGAGCCUAAAGAAGAGGCAAAGGAAAAGAAGACAAAAACCAAGUGAUGAAACUUCCAAGAACAGAGGGAAAAAAAUUCAAUUAAUAACAAAGGGGAAACAUCACAAGAUGUAAAACUACGAAUCAACUAUCAUCAAAAAGGAGAUGAAGGAAAACUGAAAGCCGUUGGUAAAAAUAUUUAGUGGCAUGUAAGUGUUGAUGUUCGAACCUCAAAUUUUUUACUUAUUCACAUUAACGUGUGAAUUUCUUUCUAGUCAAUAUGUUAUUUGAAGAAAUAAAAAAAAAAAUCUAAUCUUCCAUAAAAAAAAAUCUAAUCUUAUAUAAAUAUUGAUACCCACUUUAGUAAUUUUGCAUUCAAAAUCAAUUUUGAUCCAAAUUAUUCAAACAACAUAAAUUUAUUUAUAAGAAUCACUUUUACAUAUUAUAUCCAAACAUAAAUCAAUUUACAUGCAAGUCAUUUUUAACUCAAAUCAAUUAUAUCAAAAUCAAUUCUAUUAACCUCAAUUAUCUCGACGUAGAACCAAACACACACUGAGUAGCCCACAUGGGAAAAAAAGAAGAUGCGACUACUUUUACAAAUGUUAUUAUAAGCAGCGUUCUUUUGUCAAACUUUCUGUUUUGACAUCAUAUACUUGUUAAAAAUUGAAAAACUUCUUGCAUAAGUAAACUACUUUCAACUGCUGGAUCUUGGAUCUUGUAAUUCGUUAUUACUCUUCCACUAGUUGACAAUAUGUGCUUGAGCAAUAGACACAAGGAAAUUGUUAUAUGUACAUCAUCGUCCUAAAGCUUAUAACAAUAUCCCAUUCAGGAUUCAACUAUGAAUGGAAAUGUAUUUCACUUGAGAGAUUGCAGGGAAAAUGUUUCGAAUGAGUAUAGAUUCCAUCAUUUUUAAAAUGCUUCGCAGUGAUUUUUCUACUUUGCUUUUUUAGAAAAUCAUGGCAACAGUUAAAAUUCUUACUGUAAGGAUCAAGUUCAAGACCCUUUUUUUGCAUUAAUAUAUAUAUUAUAAAAACAACCAGAAUUUGUUGGGGUCAUGCUAAAAAGGAAAUUAAAAACUAACUUUUAAUUUUUAUAUUGAAAAGAUACAUUUUUAAGUUUUUGAAAUAUUAAAUACACAAUUUUCAAUAUUAUAUUUUUAUAUAUUUUUUUGGUUUAUUAUAUUUGAUUUCUUAACUUAUGUGUAAGUGUACAAAUCAGCAUUUUCCUAUAACAUUUUGUAUAAGUGAAUUAUCACUUAAUAACACAUUUUCAUGUUAUCAACUUGAAAGUUACAUAAAUAUCUCCCUUAUCAUGUCAUCAGAAUUCAGUCUCAACAUAAAUAAAAAAAAAAAAAAAAAAUCUGGAAAACUAAAAUCGCGGUUAGAAACAUGAGGGCUAAAUUUGUGAAUGAAACAAUAUAGAGGGACUAAAAUGCAUUUAACACACACAACAAAUUUACAUAUCAAUGUCAUACUCUAACAACUUCAUGUAAAUCAAAACUUGAAAUAGAUAGAGGUGUCCCAAUUAAUAAGGAAUGAAGAUGUAGAAUGAAUUAAGCCGAUAGGCAAGUAAAAAGAUGAUCAUCGACAAGUGAGUAUUGAUGAUGAGUGAAGGACAUGGUUUUAACGUUGUCCUUAAUCCUCUCAUUGCUAUUAUUCCAAUGUGAAUGUGUUUGAGAGCCUUUUAUGGAAGCCACCUUAGCUGCAAGUUUUUUCUCAAGUCUUCUCUUUCUAACAUAAUCUUCUGGAAUGAACACAUCCAUCAUAUAACUUUUUCUUCUAAGUUCCAAGAUGAGGUGAAACCUAAUGUAAGUGAAAAUUGGUAAAUGUGUGUAGAGCAUGUGGUGUGAUGAGUGAUGACAAUGUACGAGGAUAUAAAUAAAGGGGACAAGAUAGUGAAAUACUAGGGGCGUUUGUACCAUGUUUUGAGUUAAACUGGGACCUAAAUUUUGGUAUUUCAGUUUGGUAGUUUUGCUCAUAAAAUAAUGGGCCCCUUAGAGUUCCUUUUCGUGUCCAAAUCAAAACUGUUCGAACUUGAACUGUACUUGCCGACUCAAGAAUUAACUUAUCGGUUAUGCUAAUAGUUUUGUUGUGAACAUAGUAUUUAAUUAAUAAAAAAAAUAGUGUAAAGCAUUGUACCCAAAAAAAAUAUAUAUAUAUAUAGUGUAAGGCCCUAAUUUAGUCUUUUAAGUAACAUUAAAACUUUGUAAAAAAAAAAGUAACAUUAAAACAUUCCUAAAAAAAAUAAAAAGUAACCCUAAAACAUCUACAAUAAAGCUACUCCAACUUCUGAAUACUUGGACGGAGAGAAUUGAUAUUUGAACAACCAUUUUUAUAUAACUUUUGUACAAUUUUCUCUCUAUACUCACAUUAUUUUCUUAUUCUCUUUCUUCCUUUUUCUCUCUCCAUUAUUUUUGACCAAUGAAAAGAGAUAACAACAAGGUUGUCCCAAAAAUUGUACUAAAUAAUUGUUUAAAUAUCAUUAUUCUUGGACGGAACUUGCAAAUAUAUACAACUCAUUUAUAUAUUUAAAAAUUAAUAUAAUAAGUAUUCAAUUCUUUUUCCUUAAAAAAAGGUAUUCAAUUCUUUUAAUGGGGAGCACAGCAAAAAAAGAGUUAUUAAAUAGUUUUUAUUAAUAAUUUUAUACUACCAUUAUAUUAUGGAAAUGUUAACAAGUGUCACCGAGACACACUUUAAGACAUUUAAAUAGUACUCACUCCGUUCCAGAAUAGAUGAUCUAGUUGACUCCGUCACAUGUACCAAUAUAUACGCUUUAUCUUUGAUAUCUUCAAUUCUCUACUAAAAAAAAUUAUGAAAACUUAAUAUUUUAAAAAUAUUCAUCGAGACGAAUCCAACAACAUCUUAUAUGAUAUUAUUUAUCUUUGUGAAUUAGUAGAAAAAUAUGGUGAAAGUAUGUUAAGUCAAUAAUGUAUAUUAUCAAAUAUGUCAUCUAUUGAGGGACAGAUGGAGUAAUGUUUUAUGAGAAUUAUUGUAUUUAAUGCAUUGAAAAUUGAAACAAUUGACUUUUUUUAAUGGACAAUUUCUUAAAAUAGAAUGCUUAAAGAGUGCUCAGAGGCACUCGUUAAUAAGACCCUUAUAUUAUUAUGUUCUGCCAUGAGAGUAACGUAUAAAAUAUCAACCCUAGGGUACGAUCAUCCAUACUAAUCUUAUAUCUCAUUAUGCAAAAAAAGAAACAUUAUUACAUCUACUUUUUUAAGUGUUUGGUUUCACUUUUAGAUGCUUUAGAAGUGCUUUUCAAGUUCAAAAACAAUUAUAGUAUUAUAAAAUUAUGUUUGACAUUUUGUUUAGAAAUCAAUUUUAGGUACCAUAAGCAAAUUUACAUGAAGCUACUAUUUAUAGUUUUUUAUUUUUCUUUCUAGAAUUAAUUUUAAAACACAUUUAUAAUUCAACUUGCUUUUACAUAAAAAUUUAUGAAAACACAAAUCAAUUAACUCAAAAUCAAUUAUUGUCAAAGCAUAACCCAACAAACACUAAAUUUUAUACUUUUUUGACUUAAUUACACUUUUGGUCCUUGUGUUUUGGCCUACUCACGAAAUUGAUCAUGCCCUUUUAAAACAUAACAAAACGGUCCUUCAAUUAUCAUUUUUGUUGCAUUUUUCGUCCUACCUCCUAUUUUCAAACUCCAUAAACGCAGAGAAAUGACAGUUUUAGGCGGUUUUAGAACUACCCCUAUGCUCAACCAUGAAAUCAACAAGGAAUAAAACAUGUGGGCACAAGGAAUCUAUUAUAUUCAGCACACUAACAAAAAAAAACCCUAAUUUGAAACAUAUCUUAGAAAUUAGGGUUUUCUUGGUUAGUGUGUUGAAUAAAGUGGAUUCUUUGUACCCACAUGCUUUAUUCCUUGUUUAUUUCAUGGUUGAGCAUAGGGGGUAGGUCUAAAACUGUCAUUUCUCUACGUUUUUGGAGAAUAAAAUGGGGGGUAGGACGAAAAAUGAAACAAAAAUGAUAAUUGAAGGACCGUUUUGUUCUGUUUUAAAAGGGCAGGACCAGUUUCGUGAGUAGGCCAAAACACGAGGACCAAAAGUGUAAUUAAGCCUAUUUUUUUUAGGAAACUAAAUUUCAUACUUAAUCUUUAAAUAUAAAAACACACACAAAAUUACAUAUGAGUAAAAGACAAGCAUGCAAUAAACUCCAAUUUUUUUGGAUUUCAGAACCAAAUAAGACACGGAAAAUUAUUAUCAAUAACAAUAAAGAUACUAAUGAUUAUUUUGCAACAAUUUUAUAUGAAAUUUGUACAUGUCUUUUGAGUCUCCAAAGUCAAUCUUUUACUAUUAAGUUAACCCUUAGAGGGAAAAAAAAAAAAGACUACUUAAGAUUAUAUUUGGAAUUACUUUACUGUUUUCAUAUACUCAAUUUAGAGAUCAAGUGUAUGAAUAAUUGAUACUUGAGAGACUUGCUUUUCUAUGAAGAUAUACUUGAGAUACUAAAUUAAAGGUUUCACUAUGAAAAUAAUAAUAACGAGUUUUUUAAAAAUAACUUUACAUUUAAAUUAUCAACAAAUAUCUAACUUUGUUUUAACAUGAGAAUAGUUUUUUUUUUUAAGCAACAUGAGAAUAGUUUAACAUGACUAAAUAACCAACAUAGAAUAGUGACUAAUUGGUUUUAACAUGUGAUUAAUUUGAAAAAAAAUAAUAAUGAGUUUUUUAAAAAUAGCUUUACAUUUAAAUGAUCAACAAAUAUCUAACUUUGUUUUUUCCUUCAAAAAAAAAUCUAACUUUGUUUUAACAAUGAUAAUAGUUUAACAUGACUAAUUAACCAACAUAGAAUAGUGACUAAUUGGUUUUAACAUGUGAUUAAUUAAUUAGUCACUAUUUCACCCUACAAGUCAAAGAGCCAAGAUUCUUUUGUUUUUUUUUUUUGAGAGAAAGAGCCAAGAUUCUUAGUCGGUAAACAAGAUAAUAUAAUCAAAUCUACCUAUACUAUCAUUGAUUGAUAAAAGAACACGUGUGAUCCCAAUCAAUGGAUGGAUCUAAAAAUUUCAAAAGUUUAGUAUGUGUGAGACUCAAGUGUCAAAUAAUAUGACAGAAAAGCAAUUGGAUUAACUAAAACUGGAUUAAACAUUUUGAAACUCUAUAAAGAGGUUCAAUUUAGUCACGAUUGAAGUGUGAUACGAUUGUGAGAAAACCCUAAUAUUAGCUUGAGUAAAGAAUUUUAGCCAUUGAAACACAAUAAUAAUAACGCCAAAAUGAAAGUGAAGCAUCAUGGUUGCUUACUUAUUUGGGUAAGUGAGGGCAUUACAAACGCGGUAUCAUCAAAAUUAAGAAACGAUGCAUUGUGAUUCAAUUCAAUUCAAUUCAAUGUGCUUGGUAUAUAUCUAUUCAUAUAACCAAUGGAUUGUUGACUGCUGUUUCUUUAUUGUUCCAUUAUAUACAAUUUUCCCAUUUCAAUGUUGUGACUUACGUGCCUGGUGAAUCUUAUGAGUUACUUCUUGUUCGGUAGUUUAAGAAAAUGACAAUAAUCGUUACAUAAGUUGAGAAGUUAAUGUUUGAAUCUCAUCAUCAGUGGCGGAUCUUGAACUUUUUUUCUGGGGGUGCCAAAUAUUUUUAGAAUAUAUAUAUAUAUCAGUUUUAAAAUAUUAGUGAAAUAAUGAAUUAGCCUAGUGGUUUAUUUUCCUGAAACAACUAUAGGGAACGGUGGUUCGAUUCCCAUUAGGACCUCUUUUUUUGAGUAAAGUAUUAAUAAUACAAUUGAAAAUAUAAAAAAAAACAGCUAACGAGGAUCGAACCCACACGCAGCUGGGGGGUUUCGAAACUCACCAAUCCACUGCAAAAACAAUACUCCGUUUGAAUUAUCAUGCAUAAUAUGAUAAUUAUAGUAAAGUUAGGGGAUGCAGUGGCACCUGCCGGUCCCCACCAAGAUCCGCCACUGCUCAUCAUCGUAUUUAAUUUAACAGUUUCGAUAUUUUUAUCAAUUGAAUUAGAAUUUAUACAAAUAAGUUAAUUCCUUUCCUCUGUUUUCUAUUAUUUUAUAUUAUUAUCUCAACCAUAAUUUACUUUUUUUUUUUUAAGAAGCUAAAAUAAAAUUAUAUAGAACCAAACGAUUUUAUUUUCUCUCUACAAAGAGUGCUGGAGAAAAUAAAGAGAAAAAUAUUGUUACAUCAAAUAAAGGUAUAAAACACCAUAAGAAAGCAAAGAGAACCAUUACAUGUAUAAAAGGGGAUUAAACCACCAAAUCGUUCUUGAUUAGAAGGUCUGAUUAAAAUCAUUUUAAAUACAAGUAAGCAUAUCGAAAUGGUAAGUUUGUUCCGCAACGGAAGAAAAAAAUGGUAUUGAUUUUUUUCUUUGGACAAGAAAAUGGUAUUAAUUUUUAUGACCAAAAUAGUAUUAUUUUUUUUUUUUCAGGUAGUCUAUUGGUUAGAAUUUACGGUGAAUAAGUGGGAUGUCCGAAGUUCGAACUCCGGCCCUGCAUAUAAUAAUGCAUUAUUCUAUCAUCUAAGCUAUGCUCACGGCACAUAGUAUUUUUAUUUUACUUGGACUUCCAAAGUGUUCCAAACCAGGAAUACGUUAUGACGCACGAGAAAAUGUAAGCAAGGUGCGUAGCGGACACUUUUCAAUUAUGUGUGCCGUAAAAAUCAUCAUAUUUGUAUAUUUGGAUAAUUUACAAUCCAUCUCUAAAUUUACAUUCUUUCAAAAAAGAUAAAAAAAAAAAACUCUCAUAUUUACAUAAAGUUUUUGGUAAAAGAAAUAAAAUUUACAUAAAGUUGACUAACGCUAAAAUAUCGUCAUGCUAUAUUGAUAGGUUUCACUAUGACUACUAAGGAUAAGCUAAGAGAAUCACUAGGAAUUUGCUGUAAAAUUGUCACUGAAAUAAAUUGCAGAAAGGAAGACAAAUUAUAGAAAAUAAUUCUCAAUUCAUUAUUUAGGGUUGUGGCCAAUAGCCUACAAUAUAUAGUAGUGACACACAUAAAAGAGUUACUUGUAGGGGCCUACUGUUACGGCCCAUACUACUUAGUUAUAAAACCCUUAAGCCACAAAGGCUUCUUGGUCUUCCUUUUGCUAUCUGAACCCACGUGCCUAUCAUAUAUUAUCAUCAUAAAAUAUUAAGCGUGUGUUUGGUUCCACAGUGACAAAAAUUGAUUUUAGUAGAAUUAAUUUUGUAGAAUUGAUUUUAGUUAAAAGUGAGUUGAAUGUAAAGUGAUUUAAGUUUGGAUGUUUUAAGAACAAAAGUGAUUUACAUUAAAGAUGGUGUUUGGAUAGCUUGAAUCAAAAUUGCUUUUAGGUGUGUAAAUUACCAAAAUGGGUUUUAUUAUGUGUGUGUGUAUAUAUAUAUAUAUAUAUAUAUAUAUAUUUAUAUUUACAUAUUUCUCCUUUACUUAUUUUUGAUAAAAUUGACAUUAAAAGUACUAAAUUUGCACAAUUAUUAAAAACGAAGUAUUCAAAUAAAACAAGGGAAUACAUGUGUAUUUUUAUUACAUACUCAUGUUUAUUUUUUUAUUUUUUUUUACGUAUGUUUUUUAUAAUUUUCUGCUUUUGAUUUUUUUUAUUUUUAUAUAUUUAUAGUUAUUUUGCUUUAAUUUAUUAAAUGAAAUGGGCGAUCCACAUGACUCCUUAAAUAAGGAAAAACGACGAGGGACAACACCUCAAGAUGACAAGCCACAGUUAUUUUUUACUUAUGGUUUUAUUAAAGAGGGCAAAAUUGAGAAAUUGUCAAUGAUUGUUUGAGAAUCGAUUGAAGGAACAGUAAAAGUUAGAAAAUGCUGCUUCACCUAAAAUCAAUUCCAAGAUUAAGAAUCAAUUCCCAAGCUGAGAUCAAAACACCCUCAAUUUCAUUCCCAAGCCAGUUAUCACAAUUGCAACAAGUGUGAUCUAAUAUAGACAAAGCUUUUUAUUUUUAGAGAAAAACAAUCAUAUAAAAGUUAUGAGAACGCGGGACAAUAAUACCAUAUAAGUGUAGUCAUUCUAUAUAAAUAUGUAAGUAUCUAUUAACAGUGCAAUAUUGUCCCUGAAGCUCGAUCAUUAUUGAAUUAGAUCGACCAAGAUUGCAAGUAAAAUUGUGCAUAAAACAACCUCUCUACAAGCAGAGAUGCCAUAUGGAAGACCAAUAAAUGUUUGAAAAUUAAAAUUCAAAACUCGGGACUUCAAGGUUACUUGAAAGGAAUUAACAGCUAAUGAAAACAAGAGGGAAACUUAUAGAAAUAGAAAUAAAUAACAAUAUCAAUAUCAUUAGACAUAGUUGUUUUGACAGAUGUCAUAAAACAUAGGUAGUAACUAACUACAGAAAAAUAACACAAGACCGUGAAUAUCCAUCUGCACAUAUUUGUCGUGGCCCAAACGUGAAACUUCUCUACUCUCCUACGUUUGCCAAACAAAAUCCACCCUGUCAAGUUACUUAAUUACCACCACUACUUUGUUAUUUCCAAAUUCCAACAAGGAACCAUUCAUUAUAGUACCAUGUUUCCUCUUUUCUUAGUUGCUAUAUAUAUUCAAUUCUAAAUCAUCAUAAUAUUCAUUCACCUACCCUUGUCAUAACUAAGUUUUCAGGUUGCACUGUGUAUAUAUCCACAGAACAAGUCAUGGGAGAAUCAGAAGGUUCCAGCAUCAACAAAACUGAAUCACCACAGCUACAGUCUCUUCUGGACCCUGUUCCUGAAGAGCUUUCCCCUGUUGUGGAAAAGGAUUCAGAAACUCUAAGCACGAUCAGUAUCAGUCAGGAGCCUAAUCAGCAGGCCAUCUCAACACUUGAUGAUCAGAGUAUUUCUCUCACUUUUCUCUUUGUUUUUUUUUUUUUUUUUGUCUUUUUAGAGAUUAGAACGCACAAGUUAUUUUAUGUUUGUUUAUUGUAAUAAAAUUACUUCUUAAAAAAUUUAAUUAUAAAAGACUAAUAAAAAAAUACCUUUGUAUUUGAAGCAGUUUCUAGAUUUUUUUUUUUUUUUUUUUUCGGACUCUCGAUUUUUUAUUUUUUAAAUUGUAACAAACAAAUGAAUUUUUUUUAAAAAGAUGGUUUGUAUUAAUAAAAAAAAAAAUGUAACAAAGGAGCUCGUGACAUAGAACAGAUAAUUCUAUUUUGUCAAAAUUGUUUAGGUCACUGCAUGAGAUUUUGUAUGCUACUUUGAUUCAUUCAACUCAUCGUAUUUUUCAUACAGAGGUUGCAGAUGAUCAUGCUGAUAAUAAGGAAACAGGGGACCAUGAUGAUAAAAAGGAUGCUAAGGACUCAACUGACAGAGGUUAUUUUCUAUAAAAAGUAGUAUAAAGAUAUUGUAUGCUUAUAUAGAUAUAUUGUAACUAUUUUCUUUUUGUUCCAUUAGAUGCUGGGCUUGCAAAAAUUGUAGCAGAGAAAAGAUUGGCUUUAAUUAAAGCAUGGGAAGAAAGUGAAAAGACAAAGGCAGAAAAUAGGCAAGGACCCAUCUUAUAGAUUUAUGACUAUCUUACUCAAAUAAAAUAUAAAGGGUUAAUAGGUCUUUAACCUCCUGUAAUAUAGAUCAUUUUCGGUUUUUCCCCUGUAAAAUAUAUUUUUUUUAUUUACCCCCUGUAAAAUUUUAUUGUUUUGAUUUAACCCCCUAAUAGGCCAAAUAAAAACGAAAAUUUCUUAAAAAAAAAAAACAAAAUUGGUUUUUGUUUGGCCUAUUAGGGGGGUAAAUCAAAACAAUAAAAUUUUAUAAAGGGGUAAAUCAAAAAAAUAUUUUAUAGGAGGGAAAUCGGAAAUGACCUAUAUUACAGGAGGUAAAGACCUAUUAACCCAAAUAUAAAUUAUUCAAGAGCUUGAUGAAAUGGUCACACAGGGCAUACAAGAAGCAAUCUUCUGUUGGAUUAUGGGAGGAAAGCAAGAAAUCAUCUAUAGAGGCACAACUCAAGAAAUUUGAGGUGAUUAUUAUUUCUUUUUGUUGUAAAUUAGGUAUCUUCGCGCACAAUUGUAUAGACAAAUCUCUCGAGUCUUGUGGAACUCAAAUGUGUGACAAAUUCCUCCCAAAAGUUUUACCGUUGUUAAAUGCUCAAGCUCGGCUCGGGAUCAAACCCUAAACCUUGGUUAGAUUAGAAGAGAUGCGAGUCAUUUCAUCUAAGCGCUCUUGGGUCCCGUAAUACUCAUUUAAUUCAUCAAUGUGACUUGCUUUUAUUUUCAAAUAUCAGUUGUUUCCCUCAUUUGUAACUUACAAAAUUGUUUUAAUUAAUAGGAAAAUUUGGAAAGAAAGAAAGUUGAGUAUGUUUCAAAAAUGAAAAAUGAACUAGCUGAAAUCCAUCAAUAUGCUGAAGAGAAAAGAGCAAUAGUUGAGGCUCAAAAAAGGGAAGAAUGUCUUGAACUAGAGGAAACAGCUGCAAAGUUUCGUAGUCGUGGAGUUGCACCAAAGAAAUUGUUUGGAUGCUUUAGUGCUUAAGUUUUUUUUAAGCCAAAUAAGAAGAAUUGAAUUCUUGAUGGAUUGGUUUUACAUGAUGUUCAAUUAUGUAUACUUUUAAAAGUGUGGUUUUGUUCUUAUAUGUAUUGUUUGAGUUAACAAAGAAUUCCACAUUUGAUAAUCAAUAACAUUUACUACUUUCCCUUUAAUUGUAUCAUUAAGGGAACAAUACCACCUGCAACUCAAACAAACAUAGACUAGCAAGACAUUGGCCAUAAAUUGGAUCAAAUUAAUAUAACAAUGAACAAUGCAAAUUAAUUACAAGUAGAUUGCUAAACUUUUUCAGCAUCACAAUUCUCAAUUAAUAGAUCCUAUUAAUUAAUUAACUUUUGUUGUAAGUAAUAGAUGCAUUUGAUGGAUUGAAUGGAUGAUAGAGAAAUAGUUUAUUUCACCACCCUUAUUCUACACCUAAUUGCUACUCUCGUGAGAUUGGAUUGAAGGGAGUAUACAGGGACGAAUUAAAAAAUAUAUAUUAAGGGCGGCUAAAAUUUAGCACAUAAUUCAUCUGUCCUUAAAUAUAAGACCGGCUAAAUUUCUAGAUACAUUUACUAUUCAUUUUUCAAAUAUACCCUAUUAAUAUUAUCAAUUUGUCUUAGAAUAUGAAAAACAACAUUGAAUGCAUUUUGUAUAUAUAAAGUGUAAUUUAACCACAUUUUUUUUUUUACCGAAACAAAGUUAACUAUUAUCAUUAAUCAACCAAUGGCAAUGUUCAAUACAAGAAGGAUAAAAAUCAAAAAUACGGUGACUAACCGCACUUAUUUUAGAGAAAUUUAUUAGUGGUCCUUGGGUUCUUCGGCAGCAGUGUUACUACUACCUCCUCUGUUCUUUUUUUUUUUUUUUUGUAGAGACCUCCGUUCUUUUUUUACCGUUACCUUUUAACAUUUUACAUAAAUUAAGACAAUCAAUAAAUAUUAUUACAUUUAUGGAGGUUCAUUGGCAGUCCAUACCUGAUUACAUUGUUUGGUUCUAUGUAGUAUCUCAUCGCAAAUUAAUAGCUCAAGUUGAGGGAGAACCACCUAGGCAAGAAAAUGUCAAGGUUAUGAUAGACGAGGAGCAUGAGAGUGAAACUUUGGAUACAUUUCAGCUAGUAUAAAGGGUUAGGACCAUGACUUUGUAUGGCACAGCAAAUGGCACCACUUACGAUGAUCUAUAUAGUACUUUGGAGCAUAUUUCUGAAGAAGCAGAGUUGGUCGCUUAGUAUCUAGUCUCGUAUAGGAGAAGGGUAUUCUAACGACUUCAUUUGUAUUGUAUUUUUUCUUGUAUUUUUGUCAUCAUUAAUGUAUAUCGCAAGUUCACAACAAUUACUAUUUUGAAUGUGUACGAAUAUUGACGUGAUGAAUGAAAUACACAAAAAUUUUAUGUCGUUUCAAUGUUGAAUGAAUUUAAUGUGAUCAAUGUUGAUUGUGUUGUCUUUGAAUGUUUUUAAGUGUAUUUGAAUGUGUUAUAGCAAUGCAUUGUUUGGAGUUAAAUUUUGGUUAAGCCAAGUUUAUGUCGGUGUAAUUUUGUAAAAAAAUAAAUAAAUAAAAAGUGAUCGUGGUGUUUUGGCCCAUGACCCUUUUGUUUAUAAAAUAGAUAAAUUAAUAAAGGAUUUGGGGUUGCCCUUUUAAUUGUUGUUCUUCUACGAUCUCACUCACGCACGCACGUUCCCAGCUUUUGCAAUUCUCCAUUCCGACCUUAGCUAGGUACUUUUGUUUUGAUUGAUUUCUUUCUCGUUAAUUAAUUGUCAUGUUUUUUUUACUUGUUAGUUAAUUUUUAUUUUUAAUGUAAACUCCAUUCAUUUAUUUUCCUUUUUGCAAUUUAGUGUGAUCGGCCAUGAAAAGAAAAAAGGGUUCAAUUACCCCACCAAGGGCUACUAUCCAAAGAUGCAGCAAUAAAUCAAAAUGUCAACAACUUUGCCCUUACUUUGAUAAUCUUCCAUCUCACUUAACUACCCACAUUCUUCUUCAACUUCCCAUUAAGUCUCUUCUCAUGUGUAGAUGUGUGUGCAAAACUUGGAAUACACUUAUUUCAGAACCACAUUUUGCUAAAUUGCAAUUUGAGCGAGCACCAGUUAGUUUCGUGAUUCGAAAUUUAGACAAUAUAGGAGUGUCAAGAAACCUAUACCUUCUUGAGUGCGAAGCUGAAAAGUUUGAGAUUGGAAGCAACAAUCAUGUGAAGCUUGACCCUAUAUUCGAGCUUCCUCUUUGUAAUGACAUAUCAUCUAGGGACAAAAAUGACGCCAAAUUAUAUAAGGUGAUAAAAAAUAAAUCCAAGGAACGUUAUAUUACUUGCACCUCAAGUAGGGACAAGUUUGGCAUUGUGAAUUCUUGCAAUGGCUUGCUUUGUUUAUCUGAAACAUCUAUCGGAAGCCCUUUAGUGAUUUGCAACCCAGUAACGAGGGAAUUCACAAUACUUCCUGAACUUACUACGACUUCUGACUGGU
rnacentral:lncRNA from 1 species